rnacentral:rRNA from 1 species
AUUGAACGCUGGCGGCAUGCCUUACACAUGCAAGUCGAACGGUAACAGGUCUUCGGAUGCUGACGAGUGGCGAACGGGUGAGUAAUACAUCGGAACGUGCCCGAGAGUGGGGGAUAACGAGGCGAAAGCUUUGCUAAUACCGCAUACGAUCUCAGGAUGAAAGCAGGGGACCGCAAGGCCUUGCGCUCACGGAGCGGCCGAUGGCAGAUUAGGUAGUUGGUGGGAUAAAAGCUUACCAAGCCGACGAUCUGUAGCUGGUCUGAGAGGACGACCAGCCACACUGGGACUGAGACACGGCCCAGACUCCUACGGGAGGCAGCAGUGGGGAAUUUUGGACAAUGGGCGAAAGCCUGAUCCAGCCACGCCGCGUGCAGGAUGAAGGCCUUCGGGUUGUAAACUGCUUUUGUACGGAACGAAAAGCCUCUUUCUAAUAAAGAGAGGUCAUGACGGUACCGUAAGAAUAAGCACCGGCUAACUACGUGCCAGCCGCCGCCGUAAUAC